rnacentral:rRNA from 1 species
AUUGAACGCUGGCGGAAUGCUUUACACAUGCAAGUCGAACGGCAGCACGGGUGCUUGCACCUGGUGGCGAGUGGCGAACGGGUGAGUAAUACAUCGGAACGUACCCAGUCGUGGGGGAUAACUAACCGAAAGGUUAGCUAAUACCGCAUACGCCCUGAGGGGGAAAGCGGGGGACCGUAAGGCCUCGCGCGAUUGGAGCGGCCGAUGUCUGAUUAGCUAGUUGGUGAGGUAAAGGCUCACCAAGGCGACGAUCAGUAGCUGGUCUGAGAGGAUGAUCAGCCACACUGGAACUGAGACACGGUCCAGACUCCUACGGGAGGCAGCAGUGGAGAAUUUUGGACAAUGGGGGAAACCCUGAUCCAGCCAUUCCGCGUGAGUGAAGAAGGCCUUCGGGUUGUAAAGCUCUUUCGGCAGGGAAGAAACGCUCUGGGUUAAUAACCCGGGGUAAUGACGGUACCUGAAGAAGAAGCACCGGCUAACUACGUGCCAGCAGCCGCGGUAA